rnacentral:lncRNA from 1 species
UGAGUGGAGUUUGAGUGACAUUAGUGGUGUCAACGGUGGUGUUGAAAAUCAAUGGUCAUUUUUGGUGUUUGAACCAAAUCAUAUCGAUGUCAGUCUGGAAAAACGUUUUGCAAACUCGCUUAGAAAAAUGUUCGCAGAAACCGUUUUGUGUAGACUUUUGGAUUGUUUCACAAACUCGCUUUAUAAGCAUUCGUGGAAACGAAUCAUUUUAAUAACGUUUUAAGAAUAUAUCAAAAAUGUUUUGAGAUAAUGCUAGAAAAGAAUCCGCAGAGUGUUAUGAAAUAAAUAAGAAACGUUUCGGGGAAAUGCUAUAAAGCAAAUCACAAACACGUUUAAAGAAGAACAA